ensembl:lncRNA novel transcript
ACUUUGUUGAGUUUCGCGGUGUCGCUGUGCUUGGAAAGACAAUUUCCUUUUCAGCAGCACUGGUAUGGACUUUGGAUGAUCUUGCCUGCUUCUUCAUUUCUCUCUUUCUCAUGAAAGCCUUUCUCUUCUCGGCUGUCAGAAAUCUUGAAAGGUCAUACAAAAAGGCAUACGGAAAGAAGCCCAGCGAGAAGAGUUUUCCUGCUGAUGAAGACAGAAAAGGCACUGCAGCAGAUCCUGCUGGGACAGGUCCCAGGGAGAGAGCACGAGCGUUGAAACCUGCACCAGCAGCCCGGGCGAGGCGGCUCCUUGUGCUAGGGCGCCCUCUAGAGCCGGAGAGCGGAAGCGGCGCGGGCGGCGGGCGGCAGGCGGCGCCUCUGCACCCAAGAAGCGCUUACCCCCAAAACAUAUGCUGGGCCCCAGGUGCCUGCCCUGGGUAACCAGCACGAACGAACAGAGAUACCCCAGGCUGUGUAAAUCCUUGGUGAUCCCCUAGAUUCAUCCUUUGAGUUUUAAAACCGAGAAACUUGAUAUCCAGAGAAGAAAGACCCUUUUGAGGCCAGGAUUCCAUGGGAGGAAGACCCUCUCCUCAGCCCCUUAAUACCCACCCUCCCCAGCCAACAGGACCCUUGGGGAAGAAAACCCUCUCCCCCACCCCUCAUACCUCCCCCCAGAUCCCCCAUUCCCUCAGGGGAAGGAAGACCCUCUCCCCCACCCCCUCGCGAGCCCCCCUCCCACCCCAGACAACAGGAUCCUUGGGGAGGAAGACCCUCUCCUCCCUCAAACCCCUCCUCAGCCAACAGGACCCUGGAGGAGGAAGAGCCCCUCCUCCACAUCCCACAACACCCCCCUCAGCCAACAGGACGCUGGGGAAGGAAGACCCUCUUUCCCACCCUUCACGACCACCCCCAAUUCCCCAGCCCCAGCCAACAGGACAGAUGAGGUGCAGGCAGGCUCAUGGGUUCGGUGGAGGGAGUUUGGGAUCACCCCAAAGCUUUUUCCAUUUUCGGGGUCAGCAGCCUGGCUGGUGGCCAGAACCAGCCAGUUCUGUGAGAACACUGGAGGCAUGAGCAGCCCCUGCCAAGCAAGUGGCAGCAGCCUGGCCAGGGAGGCGUGGGUGUCACAAGUGAAGGGCCCAGUGGGGCCGGGGGCUGUGACCACAUGUGGAGGGCCGGGGCCUGGGCCGGGGGCUUCCUCUCUUGGGGCUGAGGUUUGCUCAUCUGUGAGUCAGGCUGAGGCACCCAUGCCUUGGGGUGGCCUUGAGGUUAAGGGGUCUGUUUGUGUGAAAUGCUCAGGGCUGGGCCUGCCCUCAGCACACUCAACAGGUGACAGAGACCGUGACCAUGAUGUCGGACCCGUCAGCCGCCCUUACAGGUGAGCACAUCGCACAUCCAGGGGGAGCUGGUGAUGACAUCACCUGGUCCUCACCUGAAGCAGCUGAACCUCUGAGACCCUGGGCAGCACUGUUCACGCUUCCCUUAUUUUCCGUACCUCACUGCUGCCUGAAGCCCCAAAUAUACAGCUUGGGUAAACCAUUUCCCCUGAAUUGUGUUCACAGAUUAAAAGAUGCUAAUGGGA